GUGCUUAACACAUGCAAGUCGAACGAUGAUCUCCCAGCUUGCUGGGGGUGAUUAGUGGCGAACGGGUGAGUAAUACGUGAGUAACCUGCCCUUGACUCUGGGAUAAGCCUGGGAAACCGGGUCUAAUACUGGAUACGACCUCCUGUCGCAUGGUGGGGGGUGGAAAGGGUUCUACUGGUUUUGGAUGGGCUCACGGCCUAUCAGCUUGUUGGUGGGGUAAUGGCUCACCAAGGCGACGACGGGUAGCCGGCCUGAGAGGGUGACCGGCCACACUGGGACUGAGACACGGCCCAGACUCCUACGGGAGGCAGCAGUGGGGAAUAUUGCACAAUGGGCGCAAGCCUGAUGCAGCGACGCCGCGUGAGGGAUGACGGCCUUCGGGUUGUAAACCUCUUUCAGUAGGGAAGAAGCGAAAGUGACGGUACCUGCAGAAGAAGCGCCGGCUAACUACGUGCCAGCAGCCGCGGUAAUACGUAGGGCGCAAGCGUUGUCCGGAAUUAUUGGGCGUAAAGAGCUCGUAGGCGGUCUGUCGCGUCUGCUGUGAAAGCCCGGGGCUCAACCCCGGGUCUGCAGUGGGUACGGGCAGACUAGAGUGCAGUAGGGGAGACUGGAAUUCCUGGUGUAGCGGUGAAAUGCGCAGAUAUCAGGAGGAACACCGAUGGCGAAGGCAGGUCUCUGGGCUGUUACUGACGCUGAGGAGCGAAAGCAUGGGGAGCGAACAGGAUUAGAUACCCUGGUAGUCCAUGCCGUAAACGUUGGGCACUAGGUGUGGGGGACAUUCCACGUUCUCCGCGCCGUAGCUAACGCAUUAAGUGCCCCGCCUGGGGAGUACGGCCGCAAGGCUAAAACUCAAAGGAAUUGACGGGGGCCCGCACAAGCGGCGGAGCAUGCGGAUUAAUUCGAUGCAACGCGAAGAACCUUACCAAGGCUUGACAUUCACCGGACCGCCCCAGAGAUGGGGUUUCCCUUCGGGGCCGGUGGACAGGUGGU
rnacentral:rRNA from 1 species